GUGAAUUUAGAGCGUAACUUCGGUUAGCUCAACCUUCAUUUUCCAACUCUGUGCACUAUUGGCGGACUGGGAGCAAGUAAUUGCUAUUCAGUCUGCGGCUCACUAUUAAACAUUAGUUAAAGUAUGUAUAUAAAAACAAAACAAAAA
rnacentral:misc_RNA from 1 species